rnacentral:rRNA from 1 species
AGAGCGAACGCUGGCGGCAGGCUUAACACAUGCAAGUCGAGCGGGCGUAGCAAUACGUCAGCGGCAGACGGGUGAGUAACGCGUGGGAACAUACCUUUUGGUUCGGAACAACACAGGGAAACUUGUGCUAAUACCGGAUAAGCCCUUACGGGGAAAGAUUUAUCGCCGAAAGAUUGGCCCGCGUCUGAUUAGCUAGUUGGUGAGGUAAUGGCUCACCAAGGCGACGAUCAGUAGCUGGUCUGAGAGGAUGAUCAGCCACAUUGGGACUGAGACACGGCCCAAACUCCUACGGGAGGCAGCAGUGGGAAUAUUGGACAAUGGGGGCAACCCUGAUCCAGCCAUGCCGCGUGAGUGAUGAAGGCCCUAGGGUUGUAAAGCUCUUUUGUGCGGGAAGAUAAUGACGGUACCGCAAGAAUAAGCCCCGGCUAACUUCGUGCCAGCACGCCGC